rnacentral:lncRNA from 1 species
AUGACAGCAAAGAAGCCAAAAAGGCCCAAGUCCACAAGACAGAAAGAAUAGGUGAAAAGUCCAUGUCAUCUCAUUUUUGGAGAUGGACAUGGACAGGGGCUGAAACUGCAGUACCAGCAGAUGGGGAGCUUAAGAAGGAAGCUAGUUCAUGGCACAGCACCCGUAAAGUCCCCAGAAUUGGAGGCACCAGAUUCUUCUGAAAGAAAAGGAGCAAUUCAGCACUUGUCAUGCAGAUAAGAGGUCAACACCCCAGGACGGAGUGAAAACCUAAGGGUCAUCAAGACAGGAGGAUAUGAGGCAGAAUCACCACACAAGCUAACCUGAUGUACAUAUGACAUUAAUCCAAUAGACUUAGGAAUAAGAUACAGGGGGUUUUCCUGAAUGAUUCGAGUAUAUCCCCAUUCAUAUUAAGAAAACAAAGUAUUGGCCAAGCGUGGUGGCUCACGCCUGUAAUCCCGGCACUUUGGAAGGCCGAGGCCAGUGGAUCACCUGAGAUGGACUCAACGACUCUCUUACCGUCCAGCUCUCAAGUCCCUUCUCUUGUGAAAAUGGAAAAGUUGAACUACAGUUGAGAUAUUAUUCCCAGGUGUUCUUUGGAACACAGGGGAUUUCUCCAAAAGGCACAGAACAAAUUGCCUCCAAACAGCCAAGAUUCCAGCAGAAGCUGGAGUAGCAGACUACUUGGAUCUUCAAAGUACCUGGCCCUGAGUCAGUUAAGGAAGAUCUUUUCUUCUCUUUUGUACAAUCCUAUGAUGAGAGCUGCAAAGUGAACUGACUAAGAGCUUCUGCCUUGAUCAUUGACCUCCCAAUCCUAAUAAUAUGUUCACUGGCCAAACUUCCUAAUCGAUUUGUCUUUUGGAUAUAACGUUCCUCCUACUGUUUGCCUGAUUGAGAAAUCUGCUACAGAACAUGACCGGUUAGCAUUCCCACCAACCCCAGUGCUACACUGACUGUCUUUCGAUGGACUUUGCUCCUUGCUGCCUCUCUGAGGUCCCAGACCUUCAGAGUGACCUUCACAGCUCUGCCUAACUUUCUGUCAUACUUCUAUCAAGAGAGACAGCUAAAUCAAUAUUUUUAAUGUGCUUUGCUGUCGGAAUUCGAUGAUCUGUCACAGUUCUUGCCCAAUACACCCCAUCAUUAUUGUUAAAAUGUUUUUAGCUUUGUUUGUAGAAUUGCUUUAACUGGUUUCAUCUCUGGGAGCUACACUUUGAAAUAUAACUUUAGCAACAUUUUACUAUACUUUUUCACAACCCAGAGCAGUACUAUUUUAUGCUUAGUGGUUAAACUAAUUCCAUAAAUCUUUUGCAACUAUCCUCUAUUCUUUUUCUUGUAAUUUUUACCUGGGAAGGUUUUUACUGAUAAUCAUCCUAUCCUGAGUCAUCCCACAAACCAAUCUGUCUCACUAAUCAUUGCUUCUAACCUACAGACUAAGCAUAACUUCUGCUAAAUGAUCUUUGAUAAGAUGCUAUGACUCUAUAAAGUCUUUGAUAUUCAUGUCUAAAUUUAAUCACUUGUAGAUUUUCAUAGAAUCAAUCUUUCACUUCUACAAUUGGGAGUAUUUAUAAGUUGUUUAUCUUAAACAGUUCCUCUAUCACGCUUUUCACGUUAAAUAAAGCA